GUCUGGUGAGGUCUGAGCUUCGUCGUGGCUGCCCAAAGUACACAUGGAUUUGAUUCAGCCAGCUGGUUUAUCGUGUAUGUUCGCGUAGUUGCUGUCCGCUGUGGUACGUUGUUGCGCGCAGCCUAUGCCUUAGAAAGAUCUUUCUGCAUCAAAUUCAAUUGGCCGUUCCUUGAUGCUGGUGUCGUGUUACCGAAGUUGCAUCAUUAUUAUGUUAAAUUGUCAUCGUGACUAUGCAGUUUACCGUUUAUAAGUUAAGAAGCAACAAAAACAAAUAUGGGAUGCUUAUGUCAAACAAAUAAUAAACAUGUUUUCGGGGUUGGGAAAGGAUUAAGGAAAGUGGAGAUGUUUGAGGGGGGAUAUUUCGAGUUUGGAUAAAACACAGUUAAUUUAUAACCCUACAAACAUAUCCCUACCAAUUAAUCUCCAAACCCACCAAACCUAUACCUUUCAAGUUCCAAUUCUUCAGACCCCACAAUCAUACACCUACCAACCCUCAAAUUUAUACCCUAAACCACAUAAACCAGUGUUAAACCCUAUGUCUGUAAUCAAUAAAAAAUUAUAAAUUAAA